AUAAUAUAGGACAAUCGGUAUGUUGUCAUAAUAAUACUCAGAGUUUGAAAUACUGGAGCUAAGAGUUUCUAGGCAUUUUUCUUCGGUUAUUAAGACAAGAACUGCUAUGAAAAACCGUUGAAUAAAGGGAAGUAACUCUAAUAGGUGUGGGAAUAUAAGUAAAAGAUAUAGAAUAUAUUUUUAAAAUUAUAAAAAUACACGCAACCAUAUACUCAUAAAGAUAGAAGUCUUCGUUCAUAAAAUAUACAUACGUACACACAUAUUCAUGAUAUCAAUUUGACUAAAUUGGUAAUUUGGUGAGAUCUGAAAGUAGUGGAAACAAGAUGUAAACAUGUGGCUUCAAAGGUGGUUGAAAUAUCAUAUCCAAAUAUCCAUGAUAAACUUAAGCUAUAAACAAAUAAAUCUCCAGGAUUCACCAUUAGGAAAGUCUAAAAUUAUCUUCAUGCAAAUAGCUUCAGUUUAAUCUCAUCUGUGAACAAAACCUAAGAAUUACAUAUUUUGCACUUUCACCUAAAGCACCAAGAAAUAUGUAAAGAUGUUGAUGUGAGUGAACUUUUGUUGUCUUCCAUGUAAUUUAGUCUUCAUACCAUUGUUCAGAACUUCUAAUAUUUUUGAUAUUUAGUUUCCUACUGAAAUGUAAAAUUGAUAGGAUCAAAUUCAUAUAUUAGUGAGACCUAUUUCCAGAGGCGAAAGGAGUAAACAGCAAGAUGUGAUCUGCGUAUGAUAUGAAACAUAACAGUGAUUUCUUUUGAACCUUUGUUUUCCUAAACAAAAACUUAGUGAAGUAUAAAUAGAUUUAAAUGUCAUAUUUUGUAAUGAUUUUGAAUAUUAAUUAAUAUCUUCAGAUUUAUAUUUAUUUCUGUAAAUAUCAUUGUCAGGUCUUCCAGCUGUCAUUGUCAUAAUUAAUCUAGGAAUCAACAAGACAGACAACUACAUCAAAUUUUCAAAAAUGUUCAAGUACUGGUAAUACUGGAUAUGACACAAGAGAAAUGGACUGGGAAUAACACAGGAGAAAUGAACGCAAGAAUCUCGUCAUGGUUUUUAUCAUAAAACUAAAUUUUCUUCUUAUAUUGAUUAUCAAACUAUAAAGGAUAUAUACAUAAAAAAUCAAGUUUCAAUAAUAGAACUUUUUCAAGGCAUUUAACUGAACAAUUAAAGUUUUAAUUUGUGAAUUAAAUUACAUCAUACAACCUCAUGUGAAGUCUUCACCUUCAUAUUGGGUAACAAGAUAUUAGUGUCAGUUUCUAUGAUAUUGCAGUCAGUUUGUACGAUGUCUUGGUCGGUUUCUACAACGACUGCGUCGGUUUGUAUAAUGUUUCGGUUGGCUUCUAUGAUGUGUGGGUCAGUUUGUAUGCUGUUUCUGCCUGUUCUGAUAAUGUCCAAUUCGGUUUUAGUCAAUCAUAAGCCACUGACACAUUCAUGCCAGUGAGAUAGCAUUCUAUGCAAAAGCAUGUUUGACAAUGCUAUGUUUUACUUGUACCCUAGUCGAGAGAUGUAUUUAAAAAAACAGCCAAAUAGGCCUUAAAUGAAUCCCCCACCCCAAUCUCUCUUUUUUCUUUGGAUUUUGCAUAAUCGAAUGAAUUCCUAAGUGUAAAAUACAAAUUCGCAAAAAUUUUCUGAAAAUUCAGAAAAAUAAAAAAAUUAUGAGGGAUUAUAUAUCAUGUGUAAAGUAGAAGUUGAUUUAUUUACAAUUUCAUAUUAAAACACAUUACCUGCUCCGUCAUCCAGUAAAGUAUUGUUUAUUGCAUUAGCUGCAUAUUGAACGCUUAGAACUACAAAAUACAUGUUCAUUCGAUUUUGUCAUUGAAUUGAUUGUGAGGUGUGCUAAAAAUAACAGCUAAAUAAGCCUUAUGUCACACACCCCAACAUUUGAAGAAGCUCUCUGCCGGCGCUACUGGUUUUUCUUCGGUGGCAAAUUCCUGUUUUUCUUCUGCUCACUCCAUCCCCUUUUGCUGUAUCUAUCUCCAGUGUGGUUGGUCAUUUUCAACCACCUUCCAUCUCAGAACGUCCAGAUCAAAUAGUGUAUAAGUGUUCCGCAAGUGAAAAAAGGUUGUGGAGUAGUGCAAUAGAUAAACCAAAGAAGUUAAUUUACAUUAGACAGCAUCUUUUUUAUCCGGAACAAUAGCUUCAUUACACUGUAGUCAAUCAAUCUUGUUUUCUUCUUUUAACAGUAUUAUCUCUCUUCAAUCUACGACAUUGUCGAACAACAAUAAAUAACAUUGACAUCACUAUCAACUUCGUUUGGUGACAGUAGUUUUAGUAUACUCCUAUUUAGAUCACAUACAGUAAAUGAAAUUUUGAAGUCUUCUUGUGAUAUGCCCAUGUUUCUUGACUGACAACUGAAUGGGUCCACCAAUUGUUUGUGAACCUUACAACAUGACCAGCCCAUCAUAGCUUUGUGUGGUGGUAUUCUACAACAACAUAUUUCACUCCAGUCCUAUUCCUGAUUUCCUCAUUUUGGAUGUGAUCUCUUAGUGAGAUUCUCAAUGUUGAGCUAUCCAUGGCUCUCUGUGCCAUAAGCAGAUGUUGUUCUUCUCUAUUCAUCAAGGCCACGUCUCACAUGCAUAUAACAUUGCAGGCAAGACUAUACUGUUGGAGAGAUUGGCAUGAGUUGCCUUGUCUAGGUUUGCCUUCAGCACAUCCUUCACUGAGGUGAAUGGUCUCCAUCCUGCUCUUAUCCUUCAUGAGAUCUCUUUCUCCAUCUUUCGCUUCAUAGACACAGUCACUUCUUGACUGAGACAGACACACAUACACAUAUUUUAAGCAUACAUACACCUUCAUAUUUAUACGGAUACACAUAUAGGUGAGCAGAUUAGCAUAUACAUAUGUAUAUGCAUGGAUUAAAUUCUUUUUAAACUUUUAA